AGUGAACGCUGGCGGUAGGCCUAACACAUGCAAGUCGAACGGCAGCACAGGAGAGCUUGCUCUCUGGGUGGCGAGUGGCGGACGGGUGAGGAAUACAUCGGAAUCUACUCUGUCGUGGGGGAUAACGUAGGGAAACUCACGCUAAUACCGCAUACGACCUACGGGUGAAAGCAGGGGACCUUCGGGCCUUGCGCGAUUGAAUGAGCCGAUGUCGGAUUAGCUAGUUGGCGGGGUAAAGGCCCACCAAGGCGACGAUCCGUAGCUGGUCUGAGAGGAUGAUCAGCCACACUGGAACUGAGACACGGUCCAGACUCCUACGGGAGGCAGCAGUGGGGAUAUUGGACAAUGGGCGCAAGCCUGAUCCAGCCAUACCGCGUGGGUGAAGAAGGCCUUCGGGUUGUAAAGCCCUUUUGUUGGGAAAGAAAUCCAGCUGGCUAAUACCCGGUUGGGAUGACGGUACCCAAAGAAUAAGCACCGGCUAACUUCGUGCCAGCCGCCGCAGUAA
rnacentral:rRNA from 1 species